GACGAACGCUGGCGGCGUGCUUAACACAUGCAAGUCGAACGGAAAGGCCCUGCUUUUGUGGGGUGCUCGAGUGGCGAACGGGUGAGUAACACGUGAGUAACCUGCCCUUGACUUUGGGAUAACUUCAGGAAACUGGGGCUAAUACCGGAUAGGAGCUCCUGCUGCAUGGUGGGGGUUGGAAAGUUUCGGCGGUUGGGGAUGGACUCGCGGCUUAUCAGCUUGUUGGUGGGGUAGUGGCUUACCAAGGCUUUGACGGGUAGCCGGCCUGAGAGGGUGACCGGCCACAUUGGGACUGAGAUACGGCCCAGACUCCUACGGGAGGCAGCAGUGGGGAAUAUUGCACAAUGGGCGGAAGCCUGAUGCAGCAACGCCGCGUGCGGGAUGACGGCCUUCGGGUUGUAAACCGCUUUCGCCUGUGACGAAGCGUGAGUGACGGUAAUGGGUAAAGAAGCACCGGCUAACUACGUGCCAGCAGCCGCGGUGAUACGUAGGGUGCGAGCGUUGUCCGGAUUUAUUGGGCGUAAAGGGCUCGUAGGUGGUUGAUCGCGUCGGAAGUGUAAUCUUGGGGCUUAACCCCUGAGCGUGCUUUCGAUACGGGUUGACUUGAGGAAGGUAGGGGAGAAUGGAAUUCCUGGUGGAGCGGUGGAAUGCGCAGAUAUCAGGAGGAACACCAGUGGCGAAGGCGGUUCUCUGGGCCUUUCCUGACGCUGAGGAGCGAAAGCGUGGGGAGCGAACAGGCUUAGAUACCCUGGUAGUCCACGCUGUAAACGGUGGGUACUAGGUGUGGGGUCCAUUCCACGGGUUCCGUGCCGUAGCUAACGCUUUAAGUACCCCGCCUGGGGAGUACGGCCGCAAGGCUAAAACUCAAAGGAAUUGACGGGGCCCCGCACAAGCGGCGGAGCAUGCGGAUUAAUUCGAUGCAACGCGUAGAACCUUACCUGGGUUUGACAUGGAUCGGGAGCGCUCAGAGAUGGGUGUGCCUCUUUUGGGGUCGGUUCACAGGUGGUGCAUGGCUGUCGUCAGCUCGUGUCGUGAGAUGCUGGGUUAAGUCCCGCAACGAGCGCAACCCUUGUUCACUGUUGCCAGCACGUUAUGGUGGGGACUCAGUGGAGACCGCUGGGGUCAACUCGGAGGAAGGUGGGGAUGACGUCAAGUCAUCAUGCCCCUUAUGUCCAGGGCUUCACGCAUGCUACAAUGGCUGGUACAGAGAGUGGCGAGCCUGUGAGGGUGAGCGAAUCUCGGAAAGCCGGUCUCAGUUCGGAUUGGGGUCUGCAACUCGACCUCAUGAAGUCGGAGUCGCUAGUAAUCGCAGAUCAGCAACGCUGCGGUGAAUACGUUCCCGGG
rnacentral:rRNA from 1 species